rnacentral:piRNA from 1 species
AGAAAACCUGAUGGAGCAUGGUAGUGGGGA